rnacentral:lncRNA from 1 species
CCCCACCUUUUGUGGUGGAAAUCCUUCGAAGUUUCUUCUGGUUUUCUCAUUUUCCUUCUAGGGAUGGAAAAUAAAAGCCUUGGAUUUGGCUGGUAAAAUCUAUUCAUUUUAGCAUCCUUUUUUUUCAUUUCUAACUAGUGUUUACCACUCCCAGCCUGUCCUUCUUGUCCUUUUCUCUAUUUCUUUCCAUAUGGCUCCCUUUUGCUUUCCCUCCCGGAGCAGUGUCCACAGCAGACUUUCCUAGGUGACUUUCCCCCGCUGUCCAGCUCUGGGUGCCAAUGUCUUUGGAGAAGUCUAAAUUAGACUCUUAAUCUUUCCUUGCUUGCUCUCUGUGUUGCUGCAAAGGAGUUAAUGAAAGUUUGAUUCUUCUGCACGUACAGAUCACAAUGGCCACUGUUAAAAAGCCUUCAGCAUCUGGAAAGUCUUUGACUUGUGCUGGGGGCAGUGAGGUGAUAAGUGUUAUGCUUUCCCUGCAGAAGAGUUGUAGCAAGGCUUCUUCUAGUUAUUCAAAAUUAUAUCUUUCCUUUCUUGAGAGUACCAGUGCCUGCUUUGGCAAUGCUAAAACUUUCCAGCAGUCGUAACAGGAAGAGCCCACCACUGGCAUAUUUCUAGGAAGCCAGAAAGCACUAAAGCUGUGAUUGUGAUGAUGAGUGGCAAUGACAAGCUGUUUUUGGUCUAGUUUUUUGAGGAAAGUCUAGGAAAGAUUCUUUCACUGCUAUAAAUAGCCUAGCAGAUGGAUUCUAAUGGAUGUACUCUUUUUGAAAGACGAUAUUCCAUAAAAUUCUAUUGAGGAUUUGUGGGUGACUUACAAGAUGAAAUGCUGCUUUAUUGAAUCUUUUCUGCUUUGCAUUUAGCUGCACUUUCCUCAUGGCAAUAUUGUUACUGUACAUGUAAAUAUGUAAUUGAGGUCCACUUUCUUGGUCAAAAAAUGCUAUGUAAUUCUUAUAAAAAUUAAUGAAAUGGUAGGCUCUUUUUGCAUCACAGACUCUGGUCUCAUGAAAAAGAGAAACUGCUAUUUUCUUUUGAAUUAGAGGAUAGUUUUGAAGUUUGCUACUAGAAAUAGAAUAUAUAAAAAAUUUAAGUUUACUGAAUACAAAUGCUCUGUUCCUGGUUGGCGAAUCAUUUAGAAUACAGGUAGGUAUAGAUGUACAUUUUUACCUUAAAUAAAUUGCUAACAAAUCUAAUCCAGCAAUAUAUUAAAUGAGACACAUGAUACAUUAAUUGUCAAGAUAGGAUUCGUUACUAACUCAUUAAAAAAAGAUCUAUUUUCUAUCAAAUGCCAACCUUGUUCUUAAUGAUGAAAUACCAUAGAAAUUCCCUUUAAACAAGACCAGGACAUCUGUUGCUACUGCUCUUAACAAUUAAAGGUUCUCAGGUCAAGCUAACAGAUGAGAAAUAAAAUUACCAUGAUUUGAGACAAAAAGACCAUCUACAUUGAAAAUCCAGGAAAAGUCAACUGUGAAAUCAUUAGAAUGAAUAGAAGACCUAAAAUAAAUAUUAAAAAUCCAUGUUUUCUACAUGAUCUUUAUUUUUUUAUUUUUAAAGAUUUUAUUUAUUUAUUCAUGAGAGACACAGAGAGGCAGGCAGAGACACAGGCAGAGGGAGAAGCAGGCUCCAUGCAGGGAGCCUGAUGUGGGACUCGAUCCCAGGUCUCCAGGAUCACACCCUGGGCUGAAGGCAGGCUCUAAACCACUGAGCCACCCAGGGAUUCCUCUACAUGAUCUUUAAAAAGCAAGUUACGUGUCUGCAAAUAUACGUAAGAGAAUCAUAAGACAGGAAGAUACUAUUUAAAAUAACAGUGAGAAAAACGCUCUGUGAAAUUAAAAAUAUGACAGCCCAAAUAAGGAUUCAAUAGAAAUCUAGAAGAUAAGCUUGAGAAAUAGUCUUAGAGAACCAAAACUCAAAGAGAUGAACCGAAACAGAGGAAAGAUGAGAAAACUGGAGGAUCUGCCUAGGAUGUCCAUGAUCAGAUUAAAAGGAAUUCCCGUAAAAAAGAGCAAAGCAGAAGGGAGGAAAUUAUCACACAUACACACCACACACAAAGACCAUUUCACUGCAUUGAAUGUCUAAAGCUCGUACUUUUUUCAGAUUCCCUUCAUUUUUAUCUAAUGUACUCUUUCUUUUCUAGGAUACUACAAUACAUUCACCACGGCUCCGUAGGCAUCCCUUAGCUGUGACAGUUUCUGACUUUAUUUUUGAUGAUCUUGAGAGCUUUGAGGACUGGUCAGGUAUUUGUAAAACGUCCAUCUGCUGAGAUUUGUCUGCUUUUUUCACAACUAGACUGAGGUUAUGGAUUUGGGGGAGGAAGAUCACAGAGGUCAGGUGCCACCUUCAUCACAUCAUAUGAAGGGCACCUACUCCCCACAAGUGCUCUACUGAUGACCGAUGUCACCUGACCUAGGUGGUGUUUUGUCAAGUUUCUCUACCGUGAAAGUUAUUCUUCCCCAGCCCCGUUCCCUACUGUGUUCUUUGGAAGGAAGCCACUAACCAUGUUGGAGUGAAGAGUUCCACUGCACCUCAAGGAUGAAGUAGCUACAUAAAUCACUUCCAAGAAAUACUUUAGGAGCGUGACUGUUGGAUGGUGGUAAGACCAAGUUGGGCUGUGUUGAGAAACUGCCUGUUUUCCAAAGUGGCUGCAACAUUUUGCAUUCCCAUUAGUAAUGAACAAGAGUUCCUGUUGCUGCUCUGCAUCCUUACCAGAAAUUGAUACUGUCAGUUAUUUUUUAAAUUGUAACCAUUCUAAUAGAUGUAGUGGUGUCUCCUUGUUUGUCCUUGCUGAUGUUUUUAAGUUACAGGAGUUUAACAAAUCCAUGCCUCAUAAUUCAGGAGUACCUCUGGAUCUUUUCCUAUUGGUCUGAUGUGUGUGCCAAUUCUUAUUCAUGUGUUGUUUUUGCGUGUCUGCCUACAUUUGAUUAUAUGAUGAAUAUUGUAUUUGAAAAAGUAUUUGUAGAAUACAGAGAAUGACAUUUUCUUCCUCUAGACAAGAUUUCCAUAUGCUUCUGCCUACUACUAACCCAGAACUACCUUAUUCUAAUUCCAAAGUAAGAGAUUUUUCUAGUCCACCCAGGUAACUUGAAGCAGGGCUGCUUUCCUUAUACUUCACCCUUGCUCCUAGGAUGCAUCCCUUUGGAGGUCACAAUUCUAAGUGCAGGGUGGUGUGUGGAUACUCCUUCUCUUGAACCCCAGCCCUCUGAGGCUAAUUCAACCUCUCAACCACUUUUUCCCAACCAUUAAAUGCUCCUUGAGCAAAAGAAGCUCCAAUUGUUGGGCCUGGCAGAGUGAAUUUCUUUCUUCUCCCAGAUCUUACCCUGGCAAUUCCUCACUAUCUUAUUUGUUUUUUAGAAUGUUUUAAUUUGAUAUCAUUUUAUUUCCCACU